ensembl:lncRNA
GAGGCCGUGGGGGGCAGAGCCUUUAAUAAAGGACUGAAAAUGAGUUAUAAAAGAGAAAGUGAGAGUCUCAGCAGCUGAGAAGAGAAUUCAGAGCUUCAGACGCCUGCAGAGAAGCUGGAGAUGAAGAUGAGCUGUGUGUGUUUGGUGCUGGGGCUGGUCCUGCUGAUGACCGUCUCCUCAGACGCUACCGGUGGUUCCAAUGCCCAUCCUUAUCCCUGCUGUUACAGCUUCAUCACUCUUAAAAUUCCAGAACAAGAAAUACUAAAAAUUGAAAAAACACAUUCUGACUGCCCAAAGCCCGGCUUUGUGUGAGUAUCAAACUUUAGAAGAUGAUCGUCGCCGUCAGAAUAAAGCCUCCAAAAUAAAAACUUUCCAAGAGAGGAAAAAACUUUCCUAACUUUACUGCACGUUAAAGCAACGAGAUUUUUUCCCAAUUUCUAUUGGACUCGUUCAUCAUGAGAUUUUUGUGAAUGUCAGCUCAUGUUAAACAACCGAGGUUUGCUCUGUUAGAGACGAUAUGUGGUUUAUUGUCUUAUUAAUAUCAGUAGGUGAGACUCUCUUCACUGAAAGCAUAAUGAGGUUAACUGUGCUGUUUUUCAGGGUUACAACUCCGAGGGGCAAUUUCUGCAAGAAAAAUCUCUGCGGCGAAAAAUAACAUCAGCAUUUAGGUUUCAGUGCUAGAGCUUCUGUGCAAUAAAGAAUGUUUUGCUACUUCUUAUGUCACUUAUGCUUUUUUUAUACUGUGGAUUCAAAUAAAAC